GAUGAACGCUGGCGGCGUGCCUAACACAUGCAAGUCGAGCGGAGAGAGACGAGUAUUCGUACAAAUCUCUCUUAGCGGCGGACGGGUGAGUAACACGUGAGUAACCUGCCUUCUUCUGGGGAAUAACACAGAGAAAUUUGUGCUAAUACCGCAUAAAGUCACGACUGGGCAUCCAGAUGUGACCAAAGGAGCAAUCCGGAGGAAGAUGGACUCGCGUCCGAUUAGGUAGUUGGUGAGGUAACGGCCCACCAAGCCUACGAUCGGUAGCCGAACUGAGAGGUUGAUCGGCCACAUUGGGACUGAGACACGGCCCAGACUCCUACGGGAGGCAGCAGUGGGGAAUAUUGGGCAAUGGGGGAAACCCUGACCCAGCAACGCCGCGUGAAGGACGAAGGCCUUCGGGUUGUAAACUUCUUUGAUCAGGGACGAAACAAAUGACGGUACCUGAGGAACAAGCCACGGCUAACUACGUGCCAGCCGCCGCAGUAA
rnacentral:rRNA from 1 species